rnacentral:lncRNA from 1 species
GAAAUUAUUAAAAAGAUCAUCAUUGAUGAUACAAUAAUCAUACGUUCAUUCCAGGUAAACUCAACUGAUGAAUUUGAUAAAUGAUAACUGUUUAAUAAAUAUUCAAACUUUGGAAUCUCAAAACCUGCAUCCAAAAUACGCAAAAAUUUCCAUCAAAUAAUUAUCCAUAACAAAAUUAAGUUCUAACCACAUAAUUUCCUAAUAAAAAUACUUCAAAACCACAUGCACAAGAGUUAUAAACUUAACCCAUCGACUAAUUGCAACUUCAAAGUGAAAUACUCAAAAUUGAAGAAAUUACACCUGUAGAACAGCAUGAAGCUAAAAUUGAAAACAAAUUUUGACGCAGCAUUUCACAAUUAAAAAAGGUAGAAUAAAGUUUUCCAAGAAAAUUACUUUAUUUUAUAAGAAUGGUGCAAAACACAGAAGCAUGGAAGAUCGCAAAUAUUCCACUUUGAUCCCCAGUUCCUCCAUCCGAGCUCACAAACUUACUGCAUGUUAGAGCUACGUCGUUUGGUGCGCAUGAUGAUGUUAUAGCAUCAAUUAGUUGACCAAGUGCUUUACCCAAUUCGAAUGGACAAGGCUAAGUGUUAUAUAGGCUCAUGUUUGAUCUAGUUAAAAAUAUUUCUAAAAUUUAAUCAUUAAUUAACUCUACAUUUUAUGAUAUCUACAAUUUUUAUUUAUUUUAUCAAAAUUUAUUAGAAUUUUAAUUUCUAACAUAACUAAAGAGGAGCUAAAGGGUCACGAAGUUGAUACUUGUGUAUGAAGGUUGAACAAUAGGCAUAGUAAUGACAACUAAAGAAAAGGUAAAGGGCUUGGAUACACCUCCGUAAAAAAAUACACUUUUGCCUCUUGUUCAUAACUAGUUGACAAGAAAUCCACAGAAAUUUGAAUUUUUUAGAAAUCAUGUCCUAUUCACGUGACAAAGGCAUGGAGCAGCAAGUCAGCAGUAGAGUUGUUUGACUUUGAAUUAGCUUUAUAUCCCAAAUGAAAACAAAGCAAGGCAGAUAUGUAGAAGAUAUAAAGCAAAAGUCCCACCUUAUUUUCCCCGUCGAUUUCACUCGCAUUGUGGUAGUGAAAUUGAAAUCCGGUUAAGGCGAAAUCCCUCGAUGCACAACUGCUCUUCGCAAGUCGUUCUCCCAAAUCGAAGCCCCGACUCCCCAACCGUGAAGAUUGUGAUGCCCAGCUCCGACAAUGGCCAAAUCUUCAUUUCCCCAACACCAAAAAACACAGUGGAACCAAACUCAGGUGGUUGUCAUUGUGUUUCAGAUAGAACUCGUUUUUUUAGAACUUCGUUGAAAAUGCACAGUGUCAAUAUCUUUUGCUAGAAGGUUGUGAUUCGGAUUCCAUGCUGUGUAAAUGUUGCUUGUUGGCACAAGUGAAUAUUUGAUGCUUCUUCAAGAUGAUAGUGUACUUUUUAUAGUUGUUCCUCCAAGGUUGAAUUCAAUGAAACAUGAAUUGUGGCAAUUGGAAUGUAUUAUCCAAAUCGGAUAUGAUUAGGCGUUUGCGUGGGUUGGGUUGGGUCGGGUCGAUUUUUUCCCCAACCCAACUUGAUCGGUUUGGUCGAAAUUUAACCCAACCCAACCCGUGUCAAGGUUGAAACCCAACCCAACCCAAUCAAGUAUCGGUCGGGUUGGGUUGGGUUGAUCGGUUUGGGACAACUUAUCAAUAAAGCUUAAACAAGUGCAUUCGUAAGUAAAUAAGAAAGCUUUAACUUGUCCAUUUAAGGAUUGGCAAGAACUUGUCCAUUUUUUACGGUAAGGUAUAGUACCAAUUAAUCAAAACCAAAGCCUCAUCAAUCUCACUCAAUCUUUCAACAAUAAAUAGGACACUACACUAAUUAUCCAUAAAAGAACAAGCAACAGAAUCACAAAUCACAAAUAACAGCAUUUAAUGGAAUUUGAUUUGUCUUUCCA